rnacentral:lncRNA from 1 species
CUUUUCUUCUGUUUUGUUUAUUAUAGGAAUAAUCAGCAUGGCAGCUAGAGCACUAGUAUGACAUAGGUUUAUUAUAAACAUAAUAGAAAGUCAGUAUUGCUUUUCUUCAGUAAUUUGUACUUUGAUGAGUAGGUAAAAAAGAGAUACUACUUUGUGCAAGAAGUAGAACAAAUUCUGAAUCUGCAUCACCACCAGUGUUAAGUUACCACAAGAUUGUCAAGGAAAGCUGUUUAUUUUGAAUAAUUCCUCCAACUGUUCUGUGUGGUCAAGUUUGUAAGGAAAAAAAUAAAGGACUGAUUUGGGGUAAAUGGAUGUCCUAGAACGUCGGAAAUUCUGGAAUUUGAUUCUGGAAAGUCUGGAUUCAACAGAUCCUGGAAAGUAGGCAUGCAGUCUUUGUACCCUGUUUCAUUUCUAAGUACAUUUUAAAUAGAGUUUGAUUCUAGGUGAGGGCCUACUUUGCCAUACAAAUAAGCUUUUCCAGUCUUAUAGAUGGGCACCUGAAAAUACUAUAGCAGAGGAAAUGCAGUGUGCUGUAGAGAAACGAAAAAAGAACCAUGAACAUUUCAUGUGUUAGCACAAAUGGUUUUGUUUAUUUUUAAACCACCCCAAAAUCCAAUCAUGCUGCAUGUACACUGACAAUACACAGGAUAACACACCAAAAGUAGGCAAGAAAGAUUCUGGUUUAGUCUGCUGGCAUUUCUUUUUUUUUUUUUCUUUUUAUCUUGCACAUCUUCUCAACUAGAUGAAAUGAUCCAAUCUAUAUGGAUUCCUAUGUCAACCCUCUUUCAUUUUCACUGUCCAUGCUGUCUGUCCACCAGGAGACAUCUGUCAUUCAUAUUACCUCCGGGGUGCUUGUCUGAAGGGUUAACUGUGUCAUUUUUUAUGUAGGUUUCUCUGGGCCUCAUUCCUUACGUAAAACGGUUUAGUGCAGAACAAGUAUAUCAGCACCUAUCUGCUUCAGCUAUAGUCUAUAGUUAGUAUGUGAGACCAGCUACUGUUAUGGGUUAUUCAGGAAAUCAAAGGUAGCACGCACACAAAAACAGAAAAUCGUCUUCCAUUUUGUUUAGAGUGUUAGUUUUCUUCAUGAUUCCAGUGUCAUUUAUUUUGCUAAGCUCUUAUGAAAUUCUUUCCACUUGUUUUCUGCUCUUAUUUUCUUACAAAACAGUAUACUAGGCUUUCUGUAUAAAACACAUAUAUAAACAUUUAUAUUUAUAUAUAUAUAUAUAAAAACCAAAGAAAUGACCCUCAAAAUGGACUUACACACGGGUAUUUACUUGUCCCUCAUUAGAAAAUAUACUGUGUGUAUAUCUAUUAAUUGUCCCUGAAUGUCAUAGCACUUGCUCUUAAAAUGGGGUCAGGAAGAAAGGAGUCUUUAUUUUUUUUUUUCCUGGUUUCUUUUCAAAUAUACAGUUAAUUUACAUAAGAGAAGCAAAAGUAGAACAGCCACAGGAACAAUCAGAUCCUGUUUACAUAUCAGCACCAUGUUGUUCUUGUUGCUGUUGUAACUACUGCUCUUCAAUCUCACUUCUAGUUACUACUUCCCAGGAAUUCAUAUAUCUACACAUUUUUUGGUUAUCCCUUCACAACUGGAUGUAGGUUCAGAGAGGACGAAACACUGGAAAAUGCAAAUAGAUCUCGGAAAUCUGGAGCUUCUUGUUCUGCUCAACAGUAUUUCUGGUCCUCUUUCUUGGAGGUCAUCAACAAUUUAGAAAAUUAUGGUUCUUUCUAUAUAACAAAUGAUUUUUAGCAGCCUUUGCUUCCAAAAGGUAUUUCUGGGAAAUGCUUAAAGAAUUUUUUUCACAUGCACUGCUGACAUUAAAUGUCAGCCUUGUAUUUAUUUCUGUAUAAAUACUUUUUUUCUGGUAUAAACCCCUAUUAAUGGUACAGAUGGAGUUUUAUCCUAAGUAUCUAUUCUUUCAGAAAGCUACUCAUCACUACUGCAUGAUGUGCUGGGAGAGCCAGCCACACUGAACACACCAGCAAAUUUCAUAGUAGUGAGAGAAGGGUUAAAUAACAACCCAAUUUAUUUAGAUCAUUCUAAUGAAUUCUUGGCCUGAAGACAUUGUAAUUGAAAGACCCCAGAUAUAAAAUAGCUAUUUAGAUUGGGUGCAAAAAAAUGGAAAACCAUAUUGAAUUACAAAACAAAGUACUUCUUGCUGGUUUACAAAGAGUCUAUAACACUGAUAAAAUCUUCAAAAACCAAUGCGUUUCCCCUCCCCCUUGUCCUUCUUUAUUUUGGCUUCAUUUCAACUCUGGAGUUCAUAUCAUCUCCUUCCAGAUCAUACUCUUCUACUUGGCCGCUGGUCCACACCUUCACGCGAUCAGUCAGGUCACUGCUUCUGGGAGCCAGGAUGAAGUCAUAGAUCAGGGCAGCACCUGCUCCUCCAAUGAUUGGGCCAACCCAGAAGAUCCAAUGAUUUUCAAAGUUGUUGGCAAUCAGUGCUGAGCCAAAAGAUCUGGCUGGGUUAAUUCCACAACCGGUGUAAUCAAUUGCAAGGAGAUGUCCCAAGGCAACAGAGAGACCAAUGGCCAGAGGUGCUGAUCCUGAGACAUCAUUCCUUCUCCGGUCUGUGGUGGCAAGAACGCACAAAACCAGCUGGAGAGUAGCAAUGAUUUCAAUUCCUAGUCCUUGGCCUGCAUUGAUUCCUUUUGCAAGCGCAUUGAGCCCCAGGGAGUUGUAGGGCAGAGAGGAGGUGACUCCGGACAGGAUGGCGGUGGCCACCACUGCCCCCAGGCACUGGGCGAGGAUGUACAUCAGCGCCUUGAAGAUGCUGAUCUGGCAGCUCAGCAGGAGGCCCAGGGUCACCGCCGGGUUCAAGUGGGCACCGCUGAUGUGGCCCACGCUCUGCGCCAUGGUCGCGAUGGAUAACCCAAAAGCCAGCGAAACCUUCACGUUGUCCUGAGUUGCUGAUGUCCCGUUGACUGACACUGGGAAAUUAAAACCCAGAGCCGAGCCAAUGCUGAUAAAAAUAAAGAGGAUCAUGGCGAGGAACUCAGCCACCACCGCCCUCCAGAACAUUUUCUUUUUGAAUUCACUGGCCAUCUCUCCUCUUUCUCUGCCCUCUUUCUCUUCUGUUUCUUUCCCCUGCCUGAUAUUUUCCCUUCGAGGUCUGAAGAGAAAGCUGGAGAAAAAAUACGGUCCUUGGAUUAUUUAUAGGGCUUUGGGUGGUCUGUAGGAGGGAAGGGGUGUUGCACAAAAGGAGGAAAGAACAUCUACAUCGAUGCUGACUGCUAGAUUGAUGUCGGAGCAAGGGCUGUCGCGGGGUCUCUGCCUGACACAGGGCUGAAAGGAGACGCGCUCCGCUGAGUUACCGCGCUCAGCUCCACAGCAGCUGGGGGACAUCCAGCAGUAGUAAACGCAGCUGACAACUACAUCUGCACUCUAGAGAUGGAAAGAUCCCCGUUUCGUUUGAAAACAGAUAGACAAGUCUCUCCGGCUGGCUCCCCGAGGACCGGGUGCAUUUUGGAUGCCAUCCUGACCACGGACGGACAGACACAGAGCAACACGCACUGAUCUGAGCUGACUGAGGCAGGGAUCGCUCCCCACCUCCGUGACCGCUGUGUAAAUCGGACCAGACACCGCAGCAAGGGGAAGCUUUCCGUGGCCGUGGGUGCCGAAAGAUAGGUUUAUUUUUACUAUUAUUUAAUGAUUUAAUUUACCUAAUCUCAGGGUUUCCCAAUCAGCAAAGCAGCCGCUCAGGGGCUCCCCAGCCCACAUCCUGCAGUGAAAGCACAGCAGAACAUCAGUUGUCACCAGCGAGACUGAAACGGGGACGGAAGGGGAGCGCGAGGGAGAAGGGGCAUUAUUACAUGCUUGAUUUUGCAGACAAAAUGAAUCACCCGACAGAGCCAGAAUAUCCUCUGGAGCAAAAGGUCUCACCGCUCCGGGCGUUAUCGCGGCAGGACGUGUGUGCAUGCCUUGGAUUAACCCUUGUGCUCUCAGAACGCUGCGGGUUGAGCGGCUGCUGAUAGCUUAUUCUGUAAGCCAGGGGGCUUCCUCGGACUUACAGCUGUGCAGCAGUCGAUCCAGAGGCAGAAACAAAGUCCCCGGGCACAAGUCUUGAAAGAAGAACACCAAAAAUCAUCCCACUCCUCCUUUUUCUUCUUCUUCCCUCGAUGCGCCGCUGCCAGAUUCUAAAUUGCACUUAAGUUAGUUUGAAGUUUUUCACUUGGGCAAUGUGUCACUACGGGAAUAAAACUAAAUACACACCUGGAUAGCAUUAGAUAAUUGACAAAUGCCUUUUUUUAAGCAUAUUUCUCUUUCUGAAGAUGAUUCAGAUUCAAGUUUGAAUAAAAAUCUGGGUAUCCUCAGCCAUUGUCCCCAUGUCAUUAUUCUUUCUAGUCUUCAGAUGUUUCUGAUUUUCUGAAUAAGUAGUUUUAUUUUGUUCUGUUUUAUAAUGUGCUUAUACAACAGCACUGCACAAAUCACACAAAAAAAAAAAGGGGGGAAGGGGGGGGAAGGAGGGGAGAAGCAGUGAAAUAGGGACAAGUUAAUUGUUGGCUUCAUCCUUCUAAUUACAGUGGAACUGCAAUGAGGCACAAAGUGACAGAUGAAUCAAAAUUCAAAUUUAGACAAGUUUCACGGUGGAAUUUUAGGAUUAAAAUGUCAAUGCUGGUUGUAUUCCGUUCAGCAGGACAUUUUGUUUACUGUUUUGCAAACUGUUCCUAAGACCUGCAGAUCAUACGUGACCAGCUUCCCUGGCCCUACCACCAGAUGCCCAAGGCAUACAUCACACACCUCCGGGAAAGAAGAGCUCUAUGAAUAGUUUACAAGAGCAAGUACUUUCCAUGCGUCCCAAAUUGGCACCUGUGGGAUGGAGCUGCCCAUCCCAUUCACUGUGUCCACAGGAAACUCCCUCUUUACUCACUUCUUCCUACAAUUAGGGUCUGGAUGACCAAACAACCUCUGUCCCAGUACUGAUAAGGUGAGAAGGAAUCCCUCAAAGGAAAAUUACUAGAAGCCAGGAAAAUGGGCUGGGGAAGUGUUUCAGACGCCUGUUUGAUUCAUUCAGUCUCCCUUAGGUAUCCCUAGGAGUCCAGUAGCAGAGAUGGGGUACAGGGCAAGCAAAACCUUUAGUCUUUUGUGAGAUAGCUUUGGCAUAUGUGGGUAAUGCACAAAUUCAGUGUUCCUCAAGAGCAAUAAAUUGCUCACCCUCCUCUAGAGUUAGUUAGUUAAUUUUCCUCCUGAGACUCUUGAUAGAUCUCUCUGCAGCUACUACCCACCCUCCAUUUCAUAUCUUGGAAUGCCACCAGAAGACAAUUAAUGAUUAACACUGUCAUACAGAUUUAGAAACAAUAUAUAUAUAUUUAUAUUUUAAGGAGCUGAAACAAAAUAAAGACAAAAAUGUUACAUAGAAACAUGGAAAAUGCACAGCUGGGGAGUUGUUAGCCAGUCUUACCUGAUGUGAAUGAUGUCAUGAUCAUUGCUGCUAUCUUGUUAACUAAUUGCUGACAUGGUGGUGAUAGCAGUACUGUGAGAAGACAUGCAGCAGACAUUGUCUUGUCAUUGUCAGACAUAGGUGAGCCACCAAGGGCAGAUGGUGUCCAAAGAACAAAUAUUCUGCACAUGAAACAGAG